GAAUAGACAGGUCAAUAAAAAAACACGGAGCUUCAGAUUUGUGUCAAUAACCCCAAAACACUGAAGCCACAAAGAUUCCUAACUUAUGGGAAAGGGAAGUAGAAGUUGAUUGGUUAAGAAAGGUAAGUACCCUGACUGCUCAUUAAGGAAAUGCACAGGCCUGACUUUACAUAGUAACAAGUUCCACUGUAAAUCCCCUAACUAUAAGCAUUUGAAAAGCACAGCACAUGGACUUUGAGACCCAUGUUUAUUCUGUCAAUGGGUGUGUUGAGGGAGCUUGUGGCCAUCUCACUAGUCCCAGCAAACUUCACUGCAGCCCCUGGGUGCCAGCAUUGGCCAGACAGUUUGGUACAUGAUGAAGUUUUUGAGCAGACUGUGGUUAAGCUAGGUCAGGGGGGAAAGGGAAGGGGUUAGAACCCCAUAGAACCUCUCAAUUCCUGGAGGACCCAGCAUCCCAGGAGCAAGGUGGCUGGUGACUGAAGGGAUGAAGCAGAGUGGAGUGGGGCAGGUAGGGGUAGGCUGAGUGGAGCUACAGGGAUUCCCUCCGCCAGCGCAGAGACCUUGAAGGCCAUUCCCCACAAGGUAAUUCCCUGUUCCUCAGCAAGAUUCUUGAAAUCUCAUACCAGGAGUUUACAGUCACCAUUGACACCCUGCCUCCUACAAUCUCCUCUGCCUGACACACAGGACACAGGACAGUGCAGUCCUCAUGGCAGGUCCCAAUCCCCAGAGCUCCACACAGCACACGGCAGAGCAGGUCCUCCAUAGUGCCAGAUGAAGGAAUGGAGGAGACAAUCAAUGAAGGAAUGGGGCAAGGGUCAAAGUCCAGAUGGCAAGCAAACGGCUGUGAAUCAUCUCUGCGGGUCAGGCUCGAAAAUGUCAACGGUCCAAGUGGGUAAGGGGACUCCGGCAGACAGCACCCACCCAGCUCCAUAUGUAGGUACACACAAAAGAGCACACCACAGAUACUCAGUCUUUGGGAGAACCAGAAACCUGAGGGUUUUGAGCAAUUUCCUGGUUUUUAAGUACUGACUAACAGCUCUUUCCUUUCUUGGGAACACACAUGGCCCAGUGGACUAAAGUCAGCUGAUCAUUGACAGUCUGGAAUUAAGCUCCAGAAAUCUGGGGGCACCGACUCUCCUCACUCGUGUCUUUGCUGGAAGAGACAAGGGCAAGCAGAACUACCAUUCCUGCUUGCACAAGUGGAAUCACAGUAGCACGUGCCCCAGUGCCUCACCUUGCAGCCUCUCAGCAGCUGUACACAUCUGCCAGCUGAAUCCUAGAGAACUCCCUCAGUCCCUGACCACAGUAUGCCCUCACCUCAACCUUCCUCUUGACCCUCCCACUGACAGCCCGACAAGACCCCCUCAACUUAGCUAGCCUGUCCCUGGGCACUCGGAGAAGGACACAAAUGCUGCCUUCCUCCACCUCCAUGAAGGGGCAUGACUCUGAUGACUGCCACAGGCCAUGGGAUGGCUGAGGUCCAGAAGCGCCUCCUCAGAGGAAAUCUGGUGGAACGCACACCAAGCUCAGCCAGGGUGAGCCACAGAAGCUCUAUGAAGUUUCCCAACAGUGCCGUUCGGAUGAGACACUGUAAGGAGCUCCUAAGCGGUGCUGCACAGAUGGGCCGGAGAUAUUUCCAGAGCAGCACGUAUUCAGGAAAGCGACUCAUAGUCACUAGACAAGGCCCCGGGGCAAGCGGACACGGGACAAACACCCCAGAAACAGCAUCUAAAAACGAACAGUCCAGCCAUGAGAAUGGUAUCCUGCUUCCUGUCAGAAGACAGAUGUCAAUGUUACCUAUGAUGCCCCUUGCUGGGUGAGCUACAAAAACUCACUGUGCCUCUCUGGGUCUGCACUCUGCCAGGCAAUCUUCAAGCACUUUUAAUAAACAACACAACCCAGAGAGCAAACACAGAGUGAAGACACAGAGUGAAGACUCAAUAAAGAGUACCAAAACGUUCUUCCCUGUGUUUAAACCGGGUUUGCAAA